rnacentral:rRNA from 1 species
AGGACUUGACAUCCCCCUGAAACUCCUGAUAACGAAGGAGCCUCUUAGGACAGGGGAGACAGGUGGUGCAUGGUUGUCGUCAGCUCGUGUCGUGAGAUGUUGGGUUAAGUCCCGCAACGAGCGCAACCCUUGUUAUUAGUUGCCAUCAUUAAGUUGGGCACUCUAGUAAGACUGCCGGGGACAACUCGGAGGAAGGUGGGGAUGACGUCAAAUCAUCAUGCCCCUUAUGUUCUGGGCUACACACGUGCUACAAUGGCUGGUACAAAGAGAAGCGAGACUGUGAAGUGGAGCAAAUCUCAAAAACCAGCCCCAGUUCGGAUUGUAGGCUGCAACUCGCCUACAUGAAGUCGGAGUUGCUAGUAAUCGCAGAUCAGAAUGCUGCGGUGAAUGCGUUCCCGGGUC